UAGGUUGAAGCUUGUAGUUUAAAGCGUUUGAUUGUUAAUUAAGAGAUAGUGGGAUAGAGGCCCAUCUGCCUAG
rnacentral:tRNA from 1 species